GUGUCAGCCGCCGCGGUAAUACAGAGGGUGCAAGCGUUGUUCGGAAUUACUGGGCGUAAAGCGCGCGCAGGCGGGUCCUGUAAGUCGGAAGUGAAAUUUCACGGCUCAACCGUGAAGCUGCUUCUGAUACUGCGGAUCUGGAGAUCGGUAGAGGUCGGUAGAAUUACAGGUGUAGCGGUGGAAUGCGUAGAUAUCUGUAAGAAUACCCGUGGCGAAGGCGGCCGACUGGGCCGAAUCUGACGCUGAGGCGCGAAAGCGUGGGGAGCAAACAGGAUUAGAAACCCGUGUAGUCC
rnacentral:rRNA from 1 species